GUGGCAGACAGCGGUGAGGGAGGGAAGAGCAUUGGGAGCACAGUUGUGUUAGGGUUUUGCUUGAGGAAGGAGGGUUCCUGGAUCCCUAAGUGGGCCUAAUUGGGCCGAGAUGGCCCUCUCUGUUUGAGAUUUUGAGAGAGUGUUCUACUGCAAUGGAAAGCAUUAAGAGUGGUGAGCAAGUUGAGAUCACAUUUUGAGUGACAUGGAAACACCAGGAGCCCUAAUUGAGGGUUUAACUGGUCCAUCCAAAAAGCAAACGGGCCUCCUAGAGAGCUUGCCUCAUGGUUCGUGGAACAUCCAUCUUGAUUUCGGAGUAAUUUGGAGCUACAAUCUCAUCUCCACCGAGCUCCAACCAUCACAAGAUUCCAUUUCCAUCCGAGUCGCGGAUAUGAAGAGCUUGCCUCCUACUACUUCACACGAAACGUCGGUGAGGAGUUAACUCGAUCUAUAGAGAGAUAGGAUGCAUUUAUUUUACAUCAGGUCUUUCAAAAACGUGGGCUACAGGAGGAGAAUGAGGAGCAAAGGGUGUUUGGUUUCAUGAGAUUGAAGCCAUUAAAGGCGAAGGUAAGGAGAUGAGGAGAAGCUACAUCAUCAUUAUGCGCAAAGUGAGGAUUAUUUAUCAUAUGAAGAGAAGAGCAAGUAAGGGGAAGGAAGUAAAGCAAGCAGAUGAAUGAAGAUAUUGAAUUAAGAAGAUUAGUCUUCUUUGAUGAUAUUUUUCCCCUCUUUUGGAAUUGUGGCAUCAUGGAGUACCUGUGAAAGGGUUUUUUUCCCCUUCUCAAUUUUUAUCUCAAUUUUUAUCUGAGUAAAAAUUUGAAAGUUUGAGUGAAAAUAAAGACAUUUUAUUUGCUUUUUAAUUUUCUU